AGACUCGAGCCAUUCAUUAUGAGCUCAAAGAAGAAGAAAAGCCUCAUUUAUUAGAAUACUUUUAGGAGGAUAAAAUAUUAGGAGUUCAUCAGCCUUUAAUAGAUGCAGAGUUAGAUGCUCUAGAAAUUUUCCUACAUGAUGGCCAACAUGAGGAGAUAGAUCAUACUGAGUUUAUUUUAAAAGAUAUUCCUAUCCAAGAAGAUGAAGAAGA
rnacentral:lncRNA from 1 species